rnacentral:rRNA from 1 species
CCUACGGGAGGCAGCAGUGGGGAAUAUUGGACAAUGGGGGAAACCCUGAUCCAGCGACGCCGCGUGAGUGAAGAAGUCUUUCGGUUUGUAAAGUUCUAUUAGCAGGGAAGAAAAUGACGGUAUCUGUCUCAGAAGACCCGGCUCAAGACGUGCCCGCAGCCGCGGUAAUACGUGGGGGGGACACGUUUUCCGGAUUUACUGGGUGUAAAGGGAGCGUAGACGGUGCAGCAAGUCUGAUGUGAAAGGUCGGGGACCAACCCCGGGACUGCAUUUGAAACAGUUGAACUGGAGUACAGGAGAGGGAAGCGGAAUUCCUAGGGUAGCGGUGAAAUGCGUAGAUAUUAGGAGGAACACCAGUGGCGAAGGCGGCCUACUGGACGGUAACGGACGGUGAGGCUCGAAAGCGUGGGGAGCAAACAGGAUUAGAUACCCGAGUAGUC